CCUACGGGAGGCAGCAGUGGGGAAUUUUUCGCAAUGGGGGCAACCCUGACGAAGCAAUGCCGCGUGGAUGAAGAAGCCCUUCGGGUUGUAAAGUCCUUUCGUGGGGGACGAAAAGGCGGAUCCGAAUACGGUCUGCUAUUGACGUGAACCCAAGAAGAAGCACCGGCUAACUCCGUGCCAGCAGCCGCGGUAAUACGGAGGGUGCGAGCGUUAAUCGGAAUUACUGGGCGUAAAGGGCGCGUAGGCGGUGGGUUACGUCUGCCGUGAAAUCCCCGGGCUCAACCUGGGAAUGGCGGUGGAAACGGGCUGACUGGAGUAUGGGAGAGGGUGAUGGAAUUCCAGGUGUAGCGGUGAAAUGCGUAGAGAUCUGGAGGAACACCAGUGGCGAAGGCGGUCACCUGGCCCAAUACUGACGCUGAGGCGCGAAAGCGUGGGGAACAAACAGGAUUAGAUACCCUGGUAGUCCACGCCCUAAACGAUGGAUACUGGAUGUUUGGCGCCUUAGGUGCUGAGUGUCGUAGCUAACGCGAUAAGUAUCCCGCCUGGGAAGUACGGCCGCAAGGUUAAAACUCAAAGGAAUUGACGGGG
rnacentral:rRNA from 1 species